GCAAGUCGAACGAGGCCCUUUGUAUUCGUACGAAGGUGUCCUAGUGGCGAACGGGUGAGUAACACGUUGGUGACCUGCCCCGAAGAGAGGGACAACCCCGGGAAACUGGGGCUAAUACCUCAUGUGCUCCAUGGUGUUAGAGGACCAUGGAGGAAAGGGAGCAAUCCGCUUCGGGAGGGGCCUGCGGCCCAUCAGCUAGUUGGUAGGGUAACGGCCUACCAAGGCGACGACGGGUAGGGGACCUGAGAGGGUGGUCCCCCACACUGGUACUGAAACACGGACCAGACACCUACGGGUGGCAGCAGUAGGGAAUAUUGCCCAAUGGACGAAAGUCUGAGGCAGCAACGCCGCGUGCGCGAUGAAGGCCUUCGGGUUGUAAAGCGCUUUUCUGGGGGAAGAGGA
rnacentral:rRNA from 1 species